GCACCUCAAAGCAACCCAGUCGAUCCUGUGAAGUGUUUGAUAUGGGCAAUUGCUGGUGCCAAAGAGAUUCAAUGUGAAUCCAGAUGGACCUCCUCUCCCUUUGGAGCCCGUCUCUACAACUUUGACACACAA